rnacentral:rRNA from 1 species
UUGGUUAGUCCGCAACGAGCGCAACCCUUGUCAUUAGUUGCCAUCAUUUAGUUGGGCACUCUAAUGAGACUGCCGGUGACAAACCGGAGGAAGGUGGGGAUGACGUCAAGUCCUCAUGGCCCUUAUGGGUAGGGCUUCACACGUCAUACAAUGGUCAGUACAGAGGGUUGCCAAGCCGCGAGGUGGAGCCAAUCCCUUAAAGCCGAUCGUAGUCCGGAUCGUAGUCUGCAACUCGACUACGUGAAGUCGGAAUCGCUAGUAAUCGCAGAUCAGCAUGCUGCGGUGAAUACGUUCCCGGGUCUU